rnacentral:rRNA from 1 species
CCUACGGGAGGCAGCAGUCGAGAAUCAUUCACAAUGGGGGAAACCCUGAUGGUGCGACGCCGCGUGGGGGAAUGAAGGUCUUCGGAUUGUAAACUCCUGCCAUGUGGGAGCAAAGUAAAAAGACAGUACCACAAGAGGAAGAGACGGCUAACUCGGUGCCAGCAGCCGCGGUAAUACAGAGGUCCCAAGCGUUGUUCGGAAUCACUGGGCGUAAAGCGUGUGUAGGCUGUUUCGUAAGUCGUGGGUGAAAGGCGCGGGCACAACCCGCGGACGGCACAUGAUACUGCGAGACUAGAGUGAUGGAGGGGGUAGCGGAAUUCUCGGUGUAGCAGUGAAAUGCGUAGAUAUCGAGAGGAACACUCGUGGCGAAGGCGAGUUCCUGGACAUUAACUGACGCUGAGGCACGAAGGCCAGGGGAGCGAAAGGGAUUAGAUACCCCAGUAGUC